AUGCUCACUUCGGCAGCACAUACACUAAAAACUGGAAUGAUAACAAAGAAGAUUAGCAUGGCCUCUGCGCAAGGAUGACAGGAAAACUCAUGAAGUGUUCCAUGUUUUU
rnacentral:snRNA from 1 species